GUCUAUGGCCAUGCCACCCUGAACAAGCCCGAUCCUGUCUGAUCUCGGAAGCUAAGCAGUGUCGGGCCUGAUUAGUACUUGGAUGGGAGACCACCUAGGAAGACCAGGUGCUGCAGGGG
rnacentral:rRNA from 1 species